rnacentral:rRNA from 1 species
UUUGCGUGGCUCUGACACUAGUACGAGAGGACCGUGUUGGACUGACCUCUGGUUUACCGGUUGUGCCGCCAGGUGCAUUGCCGGGUAUCUAAGUCGGGAUUGGAUAAGUGCUGAAAGCAUCUAAGUACGAAGCCAGCCACAAGAUUAGAUUUCUUUCAGGGUCGUUGUAGACUACAACGUUGAUAGGACGCAGGUGUACAGGUGGUAACAUCACAGCCGAGCGUUACUAAUUGCCCGAUGACUUUCUUUUAUCCGCCUUCAAUGGUUUAUAUAUCCGUUUAGCUUCACUAUUUAUAUAAUAGAC